rnacentral:rRNA from 1 species
GACGAACGCUGGCGGCGUGCUUAACACAUGCAAGUCGAACGGAAAGGCCCUGCUUUUGUGGGGUGCUCGAGUGGCGAACGGGUGAGUAACACGUGAGUAACCUGCCCUUGACUUUGGGAUAACUUCAGGAAACUGGGGCUAAUACCGGAUAGGAGCUCCUGCUGCAUGGUGGGGGUUGGAAAGUUUCGGCGGUUGGGGAUGGACUCGCGGCUUAUCAGCUUGUUGGUGGGGUAGUGGCUUACCAAGGCUUUGACGGGUAGCCGGCCUGAGAGGGUGACCGGCCACAUUGGGCCUGAGAUACGGCCCAGACUCCUACGGGAGGCAACAGUGGGGAAUAUUGCACAAUGGGCGGAAGCCUGAUGCAGCAACGCCGCGUGCGGGAUGACGGCCUUCGGGUUGUAAACCGCUUUCGCCUGUGACGAAGCGUGAGUGACGGUAAUGGGUAAAGAAGCACCGGCUAACUACGU